UACGUAGGGGGCUAGCGUUGUCCGGAAUCAUUGGGCGUAAAGCGCGUGUAGGCGGUCCGGUAAGUCCGCUGUGAAAGUCGGGGGCUCAACCCUCGGAUGCCGGUGGAUACUGUCGGGCUUGAGUACGGAAGAGGCGAGUGGAAUUCCUGGUGUAGCGGUGAAAUGCGCAGAUAUCAGGAGGAACACCGGUGGCGAAGGCGGCAUCCUGGACCGAUAUUGACGCUGAUGCGCGAAAGCCAGGGGAGCAAACGGG
rnacentral:rRNA from 1 species